GCGGAAGCCUAAAAUACUAGUACUAUCAUGUCGUACGCUUCUUUUUCCACCGGAGCUUGCUCCACCGGAAAAAGAAGAGUGGCGAACGGGUGAGUAACACGUGGGUAACCUACCCUCAAGCGGGGGAUAACAUUUGGAAACAGGUGCUAAUACCGCAUAAUAUUAAUGAACUCAUGUUUAUUAAUUGAAAGGCGCUUUUGCGUCACUUGAGGAUGGACCCGCGGUGCAUUAGCUAGUUGGUGAGGUAACGGCUCACCAAGGCCACGAUGCAUAGCCGACCUGAGAGGGUGAUCGGCCACACUGGGACUGAGACACGGCCCAGACUCCUACGGGAGGCAGCAGUAGGGAAUCUUCGGCAAUGGACGAAAGUCUGACCGAGCAACGCCGCGUGAGUGAAGAAGGUUUUCGGAUCGUAAAACUCUGUUGUUAGAGAAGAACAAGGAUGAGAGUAAAAUGUUCAUCCCUUGACGGUAUCUAACCAGAAAGCCACGGCUAACUACGUGCCAGCAGCCGCGGUAAUACGUAGGUGGCAAGCGUUGUCCGGAUUUAUUGGGCGUAAAGCGAGCGCAGGCGGUUUCUUAAGUCUGAUGUGAAAGCCCCCGGCUCAACCGGGGAGGGUCAUUGGAAACUGGGAGACUUGAGUGCAGAAGAGGAGAGUGGAAUUCCAUGUGUAGCGGUGAAAUGCGUAGAUAUAUGGAGGAACACCAGUGGCGAAGGCGGCUCUCUGGUCUGUAACUGACGCUGAGGCUCGAAAGCGUGGGGAGCAAACAGGAUUAGAUACCCUGGUAGUCCACGCCGUAAACGAUGAGUGCUAAGUGUUGGAGGGUUUCCGCCCUUCAGUGCUGCAGCAAACGCAUUAAGCACUCCGCCUGGGGAGUACGACCGCAAGGUUGAAACUCAAAGGAAUUGACGGGGGCCCGCACAAGCGGUGGAGCAUGUGGUUUAAUUUCGAAGCAACGCGAAGAACCCUUACCAGGUCUUGACAUCCUUUGACCACCUCUAGAGAAUAGGAGCUUUCU
rnacentral:rRNA from 1 species